rnacentral:lncRNA from 1 species
CACUAAUACAAAACACCCAUUAUUUGGAUUUUUCUUGGAGAGUAACCUGUUAAGAAUGUCAUCAAAAUCUGUGUUCCUAUGCGGUGAAUGAAGUUAAAUUGGUACUUGAUAAGGUUCUUUUAGAUAAAUUUUGAAUAGAAGAAAUAAGAAAAGCUACUUUAGUGACUUAUGAACCAAUGAGAUAUAUGUAUCAUUAGUUGUUUAAGGUUUAAUUCGCGGUCUAUAAACUUUCUGAAAAAACACAUCUUUUUUUUUGGAGGCAAAAUGAAGAAAUUGCUAUUCCUUGCAGUGCAAGGACAUCCAAGCAAUUUUUCAUCAGUGGUGAAAGAAAAAGGAGGCAGUUGUUGAUAGCAGUUUGGUAUGAAGUAAUAUAUGUCCACAAAUAAAAUACAGCUAAAACAAAAUUCAUAGUCUGUCGAAAACAAUCAACAGAAGGGUGAGUAAAUCAAAUAUUGGAUUAAUUUUAUUAAACCUUUACAUAUGAUCAAAUUACGUAACUACCGUCCUAUCUCACACUG